UGGUCCGACCCGGGUUCGAACCGGGGACCUUCUGCGUGUAAAGCAGACGUGAUAACCACUACACCAUCGGACC
rnacentral:tRNA from 1 species